UACGUAGGGCGCGAGCGUUGUCCGGAUUUAUUGGGCGUAAAGAGCUCGUAGGCGGCUUGUUGCGUCGACCGUGAAAACCCGGGGCUCAACUUCGGGCUUGCGGUCGAUACGGGCGGGCUAGAGUGAUGUAGGGGAGACUGGAAUUCCUGGUGUAGCGGUGAAAUGCGCAGAUAUCAGGAGGAACACCGGUGACGAAGGCGGGUCUCUGGGAAGUAACUGACGCUGAGAAGCGAAAGCAUGGGUAGCAAACAGG
rnacentral:rRNA from 1 species